rnacentral:rRNA from 1 species
CGCCCUGAACUCGCCCUCUCAUCUGAUCUCGGAAGCUAAGCAGGGUCG